GUGCUUGCUUCAGUAGCACAUGUACUAAAAUUGGAACAAUACAGAGAAGAUCGGCACUGCACCUGUGCAAGGAUGACACACAAAUUUGUGAAGCACUCCAUAUUUUU